UACGGGGGGAGCAAGCGUUGUUCGGAUUUACUGGGCGUAAAGGGCGCGUAGGCGGCGCAACAAGUCACUUGUGAAAUCUCCGGGCUUAACUCGGAGCGGCCAAGUGAUACUGUCGUGCUAGAGUGCGGAAGGGGCUACUGGAAUUCUCGGUGUAGCGGUGAAAUGCGUAGAUAUCGAGAGGAACACCUGCGGCGAAGGCGGGUAGCUGGGCCGACACUGACGCUGAGGCGCGAAAGCUAGGGGAGCGAACAGG
rnacentral:rRNA from 1 species